ACAUCUCUUUUCUUCCUUCCUUCUUGUAUACAGUGCUUCUGACUGGCUGAGCCUAACUGGAAUCCAGGGCCUUGAUAAUGGGGAAGCUGGGAAAAACAGGAUAUAGUGACCCAGCCUCAGGAGCACAAGAGGGAAUACUGGAGACAAGGAACUGAGGAUUUGCAUCCCUUCCUUCAGCAGCAGGGGACAACUGCAUGUUUCUGGGGCCAUCCUUCUCAGGGAUCAUCUCAGCAUCUGUGAUUUUGCUGUGCCUUUUCCAUUGAUCACCGUGAGUUUGAGGCCAAGUAUACCAGCCAGUCUACUCAGUGUAUUUAUGCAUUCAGCUGUCGGUGGACGUUUGGACUGCCACUUUGAACAUCUCCGUACAGGUGGGCAGUUUGCAAUCACCACCUGCACUUUCUGAUCAAUCUUCACAUCAAUG